rnacentral:rRNA from 1 species
AGCGAACGCUGGCGGCAGGCCUAACACAUGCAAGUCGAACGAACCUUUCGGGGUUAGUGGCGGACGGGUGAGUAACACGUGGGAACGUGCCUUUAGGUUCGGAAUAACUCAGGGAAACUUGUGCUAAUACCGAAUGUGCCCUUCGGGGGAAAGAUUUAUCGCCUUUAGAGCGGCCCGCGUCUGAUUAGCUAGUUGGUUGAGGUAAUGGCUCACCAAGGCGACGAUCAGUAGCUGGUCUGAGAGGAUGAUCAGCCACAUUGGGACUGAGACACGCCCAAACUCCUACGGGAGGCAGCAGUGGGGAAUCUUGCGCAAUGGGCGAAAGCCUGACGCAGCCAUGCCGCGUGAAUGAUGAAGGUCUUAGGAUUGUAAAAUUCUUUCACCGGGGACGAUAAUGACGGUACCCGGAGAAGAAGCCCCGGCUAACUUCGUG